rnacentral:misc_RNA from 1 species
GAUGAAGAACGCAGCGAAAUGCGAUACGUAAUGUGAAUUGCAGAAUUCAGUGAAUCAUCGAAUCUUUGAACGCAUAUUGCGCUCUCUGGUAUUCCGGAGAGCAUGCUUGUUUGAGUAUCAGUAAACACCUCAACUCCCUUUUCUUUUUUGAAAUUGGAGCUGGACUUGAGUGAUCCCAACGCUUUCUUCCAAGAAAGUGGCGGGUUGCUUGAAAUGCAGGUGCAGCUGAACUUUUCUCUGAGCUAUAAGCAUAUCUAUUUAGUCUGCCUAAAAAACAGAUUAUUACCUUUGCUGCAGCUAACAUAAAGGAGACUAGUUCUUGUGCUGACUGAUGCAGGAUUCACUGAGACAGCUUCGGCUGACUUUGUAAACUCGAUCUCAAAUCAAGUAAGACUACCCGCUGAACUUAAGCAUAUCAAUAAGCGGAGGA